GGAGAGGUGUCAGAGUGGUCUAAUGUACCUCUUUGCUAAAGAGGCAGGGGCCUUAAAAGUCCCUCGAGGGUUCGAAUCCCUCCCUCUCCG
rnacentral:tRNA from 2 species